GGUUCUCAAAGCAGGUGGUGGGGCCAGCAUGUGUGAGGCAGGGGAGUGGCGCCCAGAGGCAUGGGGGUGGUCAGCUUUCCAGGAAGGUGAUCCAGGCCCAGGAAGGUCUGAAGUGUGAUGGAGGGGAGAGGGAGAGGAGAGGGAGCCUACCGGGAGGUGUGGGUCCAAGGCCUGGGUGUGUGUUAGUUUGUCGUCAUCCCAUCUGCUAGGCAGUGAUGUUCUGUUUCUUCAAAAGUUCUAGCUCAUCCAAAUAAUUGUUUUGUCUACAUCUCUGUUCCUUCUUUAUAAAUAAUUACAGUCAAUUCUUAUUAUUUGCAGUAAUGAUAUUCUAUAAAGUUUCCUGGAACACUGAAUUAAUCAAAUACUGAGCCCUUGUUUCCAGGGUAAAUAUAUACAUAUAUACAUAUCUCACAUAGGUUAUAAUCUUAAUUCCUAAAAACAACUCACCCUGGUAGAUUGAAUUUUUUCUU
rnacentral:lncRNA from 1 species